CUGCAGAUUCCCAAGAUGUUCACGAGCUUGUGCUUUCUAAAGAAGAUUUUGAGAAGAAGGAGAAAAAUAAAGAGGCAAUAUAUAGUGGAUAUAUUAGAAACAGAAAGUGGAGAUGGAGUUUCACCAUGUUGGCCAGACUGGUCUCAAACUCCUGACCUCAGGCAGUCCGCCCACCUCGGCCUCCCAAAGUGCUAGGAUUACAG
rnacentral:lncRNA from 10 species